rnacentral:lncRNA from 1 species
AUGAAUAUGAACUUCUUAAAAAGAAGUAUCUACAAGAGUUGUCUGAGAGGAAGAGGCUUUACAAUGAGGUGAUAGAGCUUAAAGGGAAUAUUAGGGUCUUCUGUAGAUGCAGACCACUAAAUCAAGUCGAAAUAACACAUGGUUCGAGCUAUGUAGUUGAUAGUUUACUUGUUGAAAUAUUGGUCAUGUAAUGAAUAUGAACUUCUUAAAAAGAAGUAUCUACAAGAGUUGUCUGAGAGGAAGAGGCUUUACAAUGAGGUGAUCGAGCUUAAAAGGAAUAUUAGGGUCUUCUGUAGAUGCAGACCACUAAAUCAAGUCGAAAUAACAAAUGGUUCGAACUAUGUAGUUGAAUUUGACUCUUCCGAAGAUAAUGAGUUGCAGAUCAUUUCCUCUGAUUCUUCCAAAAAGCAAUUUAAGUGGUCCAUGUUUUUGGGCCUGAGGAUAAUCAAGGUGAUCUGAUGUUUUAUUUUAUGUAUUGCUACUGCAGACAUCCUGUUAAAGAUUAUGUGUGCAAUUGAAGCUUUUAAUCCUUUGUCUUUGUGAUAUGCAGAGGCUGUUUUUGUACAAACUAAACCAAUAGUUGCUUCAGUUUUGGAUGGCUACAAUGUCUGCAUAUUCGCCUAUGGACAAACUGGAACUGGAAAGACGUUUACUAUGGAGGGCAGCCCAGAAAAUAGGGGAGUGAACUACAGAACAUUGGAUGAGUUGUUCGGAGUUUCUCAAGAAUAUGGUCUUUUUGUUAGUAUGAUGGAGGUUUACAAUGAGAAGAUAGGGACCUCUUGAUUGAUAGUUCCAACCAACCGCCUAAAAAGUUAGUUUCCUCUUUUAUUGCUACUGUAUUGAUCUUAUAAUCAAAAUAUAGUCAUUUAUAUCAAAUUUUUUGAUAGUUUGUUGCGAGUAACAGUGAAAGGAGAGAAUUUAAUAGAUGGACAAAAGACAAGAAGUCACCUAUGGAUGGUCGAUUUGGCUGGUAGUGAAAGUGUGGGAAAGAUUGAUGUUGAAGGUGAAAGAUUGAAGGAAUCGCAAUUCAUUAAUAAAUCUCUUUCAGCACUUGGAGAUUUUAUAUCUGCCCUCGCAUCUAAAACUGGCCACAUUCCUUUCAGGUCUUUCUCUCACACAGUCACUCUUGUAACAUGCUAUCCAAUGACCAUAUUAAAGAAGAUAUUUGUUUUCUUCCAAUCAGGAAUUCAAAGCUAACCCAUAUGCUACAGAGCUCUCUCGGUGAGUAUUAAGUUUACUAUUUUUUAUGGUUGCAGUCACUCUUAUUGUCUUGUUUGUCAGUAAAUGAUAAGUGAAACAUGAAUGCAGGAGGAGAUUGUAAGACCUUGAUGUUUGUCCAAAUAAGUCCAAGUGCUACUGACCUUGGAGAGACGCUUUGUUCACUAAAUUUUGCGAGUCGAGUGCGAGGAAUUGAAAGUGGUCCUGCCCGCAAACAGGCUGAUCUCUCUGAACUUUUCAAAUACAAGCAAAUGGUAUAUAUAUACUGCUCGUAUUUGAUGAAAUUUCUUUUGUCUCAGUUUCUUUUAUCUUGAUUCUUAUUUUCUUUCCUGCUAUCUUUCCAAUUACAAAUAAUCAGGUAGAAAAGUUAAAGCAUGAUGAGAAGGAAACAAAGAAGUUACAGGAUAGCUUGCAAUCAUUGCAGUUGAGGCUUGCUGCUAGAGAACGUAUGUGCAGAACUCUCCAAGAAAAGGUAAUUCUGAUGGCUUGAGCUCCAUUUAAUGCUUUUUUUAUUUAUUAUUACUAUGAAACAUGUGGAAAAUAUAUUGGAGAUGUUUUUUCGUUUUUCUUUUGCUUUUAUUGUCCCUUAAAUGGCAUUUUAAGUCAUUUUGUAGACUAACAAAUAACUUUUCUUACAAUAGGUUCGAGAGCUUGAGAAUCAAUUAGGGGAGGAAAGAAAAACCAGACUAAAGCAGGAAACACGAGCCUUCGCUGCUGCUUCUCAGUCUACGAAACAAGUAGUAGAGAAGAGAAAAGUAGAUAAGAAGCCACUCUGUGUCCUUCAAAGUUAAGGAUGCCGUUGCGAAAAAUCACCAAUUUCAUGCCUCCGCCACCUCUACAAAAACAGAAAACGGUUCUGUUUUAUCUUCAAUACAUGACAAAGAAAACAAUCCAAGAACCACAAAUGCAGGAACAAGUACAAAAAGCCUUAUGAAACCCAGACGUAUGUCUGUUGCAGUCAGACCUCCUCCUCCAAUUUCAGCACAGGUUUUUCAGCCUAAGAGACGGGUCUCCAUUGCUACCUAUCGUUUAGAGCCAACCUCAAACAUGACACCUCUUCAAACCUCGCAAUAUAAAAAUGGGAAUGUAGUUGGCAGGCAGUCAUUUGUCAGGGACCCAAGAAAGCCAAGGAAUUCAAAGCUGUUCUCUCCGUUGCCAGAGUUCAGGACUGCAUCGGAGACCACACCUACUGUUAUGAGAACCAGUAGUAAAUUCAUGGGGAGUCCUCCACCACAAGCAGGUUCUUGGAAGCCAAAGCACCCAACUGCUGUUGCACUGCAACGAAAAUCUCUGGUGUGGAGCCCGCUAAAGUUAAGGAGCUAAUGAGGUGCAAUAAAACUUAGUCUUCAUUUUCAUGAUAAAUAGUUGGAGUAUACUUUUUUUUUCUUGAUUCCCCUCUUCCCAUUUUUCUUACAUGAAUUUUAUCAUUUCUCCUCUGGAUAUUAAUCGCAAUUGUAUGCUACUUGCCUACUCAUUCGCUGUUGUAUGUUAUUUGCUUUCCUACAUGAGUCAACAACUCCAUUCAACAGUGAGAAACACAGAAAAAAAAACACACAUAGGAGUUUUUCGAUGCUUUAACUCAUCUUGGCUAGUGGGACAUCCUGCUUUUUGACUCAUUUAUACACCUGUGUUUAACACAAGAUAGAGCUCUACAUCAACAAUUGAUAGAUACACUUCCUCUCCAGUCUCAUCAAUUAUUUAAGAUAAGAGAAUGAUUGCUAUUAUCGACCAUCUUCCUCUCCAGUCUCUGUCUCAACUAAAAAUAGUUUAAGCAAAAGUCAUGUUAAUUCCCAGUAAUCCAAUCAACUGCUUUCGAGUUCUCCUAAUAAUUUAAGAUACACUUUAAAUUUAAUUGAUAUUAUUGUUUUAAGUAUCAACAAUUAUUGUUUUUUAUCUGUUCGUAAACAAUAACAUAACAAAGGCUAGAGUGUGAGUGGAUGUAUCGCAACCUGUCAAUAACUUCAAGCCACAAAAUCUUAAUUUAAACCAAAACGCAACAUCUUGCAUGAUUUAAGAUUCAAUCGUAAAAAGGACAUGUUACUAAUGAGAUUAAGUAUCUAUUUGUUUUUGUAUUUUAAAAGUAUUUAAAAAAAAAUUAUUUUUUUAUUAAUUUCAAAUUAAUAUAUUUUUAGUAUUUUUAAAUUAUUUUGAUAUACUAAUAUUAAAAAUUAUUUAAAAAACAAUUAUUAGUAUAUAUUUUAACCUAAAAAAUUAUUUUAAGCACACUUUUAAUGUCAAUGUUAUUAAAGGACACGUACAAUUAAAGCUCAUUUUCAAGCUCACGAUAUACUUUUUGAGAGUUAGCUAGCCACGAGUGUGACCUACCAGCUAGAUGGCCAUACUCCUUGACGUGCCUAAUCAGUCAUAAAUAAUGUAGUUUUUAAUUGAAAAAUGAUAAAUAAUAAGGAAAAUUUGAAAAUAAAAUAAAAAGUAAAUAAAAAUUUAAAAUAAUUUAAAUUAUGUGAUCAAUUCAUAAGAAAAAAAAGAAAAUAGUGUUUAUGUAAAUAAUAUAAAACAAUAAUAGAUCUUUAAAUGAACUAAAUAAUAAAGAGGUAAAGUAAAUAUGUUUUGAAAUAAAAAUAUAAUCCUAAAAAUUUAGUAGAAUAAUACGAUUUAUGCAAGGAUAAUACAAAAAAAACUUAGAUGUUGAUAUAAAAUUAUUUAUAAAUUAGUUUUAUUCUAUGAAACAUAACUUUUAAUUUAAUUAUUAAAUAAAAAUAAAUUUUUUUAAAAAAUCUUCUAACAUAUUAUUUUAUUAUAAGUUAAAAUUUUAAAUCAAGUUCAGAAAAAUUGUACAAGAAUGUCAGCAGCAUUCGGACAAAAAAAUAGCAUGUAAACUUAUUAAUGGUAUUUUUGUAAAUAAACUAGAUGAGCUGGAAAUUUCAGUUUCUUCUUCUCCUGGGCAAUCCCUACAGAAGACAUUGUCCUUUUUUGUAUUGUGCUUCUAACAUGUCUUGAGAAAUGGGUUAUUCUCCAUCAUUAAUUACUACUAUCUCUUAUAUCAAACACUUUUUCAUGAUCCCCCUCUCAAAGAAGUAGCUCCUCCUUACUAGAAAAUUAAUUGUGAAUUUUGAACAUUAUCGGCUAUGUAUGGAUGUAUAUAGUGAGUUUUUUUUUUAUUAUUCUUUUUAAAUGCAUUUGUUUUUUCAUUUUCAUCCAUUAAUAUUAGAUUAAUUAAGAAUUAGAUUUCAUAAUUUAUUUCGGUUUGUUUUCUAUAAAAAUAGCCCGACUUCAUAACUCGAGUCACAGGUUUGAUUGGAUAGCUCAGGUUAAAUCAAGUGGCUUUUUCAUGUAUUUUGUUAAUUGUUUUUUUUUACAAUUUUUUUUUAAUUUUAGGUUGAUUGGAAAUUGAGUUUUCAAUAUUAGACAAUUAUCUAGUAUUAACUUUAAACUAAAAGAGGAGAGGUUUUUAUUGUACCCUUCGCCACUAAGCACUAUUCAUUGGAAUAAUGAUUUGCUUAUUUUUUUCUAUACUUUUUUUUUUCGAUCAAUGUUUUUUUUUUUAAUUUCAUCAUUUAAUAUUAGAUUAUUAUUUUUAUUGAGUUAUUUCACUUUCAUGAUACAGAUUGCUGGUCUAGCGGGUUAACCCGGUUACCUCAAUUUUUUGCUUUAAUUUCAUCAUUUAAUAUUGGAUUGAUCUGAAAUUAGAUAUUAUGAUUUGUUUUGUUAACUUUCUAUUGUGUUAUUUUAGUCUCAUGGCCGGAGAAUCGUGCUUAAUGAGUUAACCCGAGUUGACUCAAAUAGUUUUUUAUGUUUUUUUUAUUGUUUUUUUUUCAAUUUUAUCUUUCAACACUAAGUCAGUUGGAAAUUGAUUUUUUUAUAUAUAUAUAUAUAUAUAUAAUUAUUUACUUUCUAUAGAGAUAUCAAGGUUGCAAGUUUUGGUAUUUUAACACUGGUGAAAUCGAGUCAUUUUUAUUUUCUUUUUAGAAGGUUAUCUUGGUCUCAUGACUCGGGUCACAGAUCCUUCAAUAUUGAAUUUGCUUUUUAUUGGUUUGUCCUCAUCUCAUGACUUGAGUUGUUGGUUUGGCAGGUUAACUUAAUUGACUUAGUUUGUUUGGCAGGCUUUACGAUUUAUUUUGGUUUGUUUUUUAUUAGGUUAUCUCAAUCUCAUGACCCGGGAAUAGUGUUUAACAACUUCAUCCAAGUUGACUUAACUUAUUUUUAUAUCAUUUUUUAAUUAUUUUUUUUAUAAACUUCAUCGUUCAACAUUGAGUCUGACAAGAGUGAUUGAUAAUUGAACUUCAUAAUUUAUUUUGAUUUGCUCUUUAUGAGGUUAUCUAAGUCUUAUGAUUAAAGUCAUGGAUUUGGCAAGUUAAUCUAAAUUAAGUGAAGUUGUUUUUUUUUUUUUUUAUGUUCUUUUUAUUAUGUUAUCUCAAUCUGAUGUCCCAGGUUAUUGGUUUUGUUGAUUGUCUCGUGUUGUUUUUUAUCUUGAUUUUUUAAUCUCAUCUUUCAACAUUAUAUUAAUUGGUAAUUGAAAUCUGUAAUUUAUUUAGAUUUAUUUUUCAUUGCGUUAUCUCGGUCUUAUGAUCCGGGUCGCGAGUUUGACAGGUUAAUCCGGAUAUUGUUUUUAGGUCUUUUUUUAAUUAAUUUUUUUUCAAUUUCAUCUUUUAAUAUUGAAUGAAUUAGAAGUUAAACUUCAUAAUUUACUUUGAUUUUCUUUCCACUAGGUUGUGGUUUACUUCUUAUGUCUUAUCAUUAACUUGUUCGAUCUUGCAUUGAUUCUGCAGUGUCUUGGAGGUGCCUUACGAUUGUGCAGCUGAGGCAGACUUGCUGUAUUCCCUAAUCGUUAAAGCUAGGUUCUAGAACAAUCGAUUCCAGAAGCCAACGAAGCAACCAAAGAUUUCAAGCAAACAUGUCGAUUGGUUUUGAUAUUGAAACACCCAUUACAUUCGUAUUGACAUUUUCACUUUCAGAUUUUGUGUUCUGCUCAGGACUCAAAACUCAACACUAAAUAUGAAGGAUUUGUAUGGUAUAUUUGGAGUUCAGGCAUGUCAAAGUUCCAUGUUUUUGUUCUUUUGGGGAUGUAUGGUUUGUACUCGUAUUAACUUUAUGUUCAUUGUGAAUGAAACCAAAGUACAGUAUAAAAACUCUAUUUUCAUGACUAUGGUAAGUAUCUUCUGUCCAAAGGAAGGUGUCAUGGCAUGUAUAUUUCAAAUUACCUGUCGAGGUUCAGACAGUUAAAAUCUUAUGCAUCUGCAUUUCUACACUGGAAAUUAUCACUCUAAGUUCUAAAGUCUAAUUUCCACUGAUAUAGACCUAUAUCAAACAGGUGGGAAAAGAGGAUUAAGGAGUAAUGUAUCCUUUAAGUUCUCUGAAUGAUGUGUCCCCUACUUCCUUGAGUGACAUGAAGGAUUUGUAUGCUAUCUUUGCAGUUGAAUAUGUCAAAAACUAUGGUGAGAAACUUCUGUCAGAAGAAGGCUGUCAUGUAUCUUGUGAAUCUGCAUUUCUACACUGGAAAUUAUUUACUCUUAAGAUCAAAAGUCUAAUAUGAAAUGGAAAUAAUAAAUUGUGGACCACUGGUGGGAAAAGAGGAUUGGGGAGUGAAGACCAUGGAAUACUUAUCUAGAUUACUGUGGAAGUAAAGUGAUGUGGUUGUCAAUGACAAUGGACAAAGUAUGACAGCUUCACCUAAUUAUCAUCGCCAAGAAGGUAGGAAAAAAGCAUCCACUUGCAAGAAUUUAAUGGCUGUGCCAGUGUUCUGUCUCAUCUUUUUUCUCAUGCCAGGAGCAUCGGCAUUUGUUUGCAAUUUUACUGAUUGUGAAGCUCUUCUCAAAUUCAAGGCAGGCAUAACAAGUGAUCCGGAAGGAUACGUCAAGGAUUGGAAUGAAGCCAAUCCUUUCUGUAACUGGACCGGAGUUACAUGCCACCAAUCUCUCCAAAACCGGGUUAUAGAUCUUGAGAUUACAGACAUGCGCUUAGAAGGAAGUAUAUCGCCAUUUCUAUCCAAUCUCUCUCUUCUCACCAAGCUUUCCUUUCAGGGUAAUAAUUUCCGUGAAGAAAUCCCAACUACCUUGGGAGCACUCUCACAGUUAGAAUAUCUGAAUAUAAGUGAAAAUAAGCUCUCUGGUGCCUUGCCAGCUUCACUACAAGGCUGUCAAAGCUUGAAAUUUCUAGACUUGUCUGUUAACAACCUAUCUGGGGUCAUUCCUGAAGAACUAGGAUGGAUGAAGAAGCUGAGUUUCUUAGCUCUCUCUGUAAACAACCUCACUGGGGUCAUUCCGGCCUUUUUGUCAAACCUGACAGAAUUGACACAGCUACAACUGGCUGUGAACUACUUUACUGAGCAAAUCCCUGUGGAGCUUGGAGUUUUGAGCAGGCUUGAGAUUUUGUAUUUGCACACGAACUUUCUUGAGGGAACAAUACCUGAAUCACUAAGUAAUUGCACUGCAUUGAUUGAGAAUCGAUUAUCCGGGGAAAUCCCUUCAGAGAUGGGGAACAAGCUCCAAAACUUGCAGAAGUUGUAUUUUAUGGACAACAAUAUUUCUGGUAGGAUUCCGGUGACAUUAUCAAAUCUUUCACAGAUAACACUGCUUGAUUUGAGUAUCAAUUACUUGGAGGGUGAAGUUCCCGAGGAACUGGGGAAGUUGAAGAACCUUGAGAUUCUUUACCUCCAUAGCAACAACCUGGUUAGCAAUUCUUCUCUCAGUUUUCUUACUGCUCUCACAAACUGUUCAUUUAUGAAGAAACUGCACUUGGGCUCCUGUUUAUUUUCUGGGAGUUUACCUGCUUCCAUCGGAAAUCUUUCGAAAGACCUCUACUAUUUCAAUCUUUUGAAUAACCGUAUAAGAGGAGAGAUUCCAGGUAGUAUUGGAAACUUGAGUGGCCUCGUGACCCUACAACUGUGGUACAAUCACUUGGACGGGACAAUUCCAGCAACUUUUGGAAAGCUGAAGCUGUUGCAAAGACUAUAUUUGGGGAGAAACAAGCUACAAGGUUCCAUUCCAGAUGAAAUGGGGCAGAUGGAAAACCUUGGCUUACUUGAUCUUGCCAAUAAUUCCAUAACCGGGUCAAUCCCUUGUUCACUUGGUAACCUCUCACAGUUGAGAUACCUUUACCUAUCUCAGAACAGCUUAUCAGGAAAUAUUCCCAUCAAACUCAGCCAGUGCAUGCUCUCUCAUGAUGCAGCUGGAUUUAUCUUUUAACAGCUUGCAGGGGCCUCUUCCACCAGAAAUUGGAGUUUUUGCUAACUUGGGGCUCUCCCUCAACCUUUCAAAUAACAAUCUAGACGGGGAAAUACCUGCAACUAUUGGAAAUCUGGUAUCUGUACAAGCUAUUGACUUAUCGGUGAACAGAUUUUCUGGCAUUAUACCAAGUUCAGUUGGAAGUUGUGGUCAAAAAUCAAAAGGGCACACAGCAAGUCAAGCGUCCUGUAAUGCUUUAACUCUUUUUGGCCAGUGGGAUUUGCUACUUUUUAACUUAGCGGUGAGGAAAAGUUGCUAGUCUAAGUAAAGAAAAAGGAAAAGAAGAUAGAUGACUAAUCUUUUGGAAUUGAGGUUGAUUUUUGUUAAUUUUUGUUAAAAUUUGGAUUUGUUUAGUGUUGUUAAAAUUUAGAUUUGUUUAGUGUUUUUGAAUUAUGUCAAAAUAAUUUUUAAAAAAUAUAUAUUAUAUUAAUAUAUUUUUAAAUAAACACUUUAAAAACCAAACUUUAAAUGAUUCCGGAAUUUCCGUGGGGCUUCCUUAAUGGGUUGUGAAAAUCUUUUUUGAAGAAAGGUUUAUGAGAUAUUGUGUUGUUAAGGACUGGUUCUGAAUUUGUACCUACCGAUAUAUAGAUUCCAAGAAACCCUCCAAUACUGUGUUUGAAAUAAAGAUGAUGAGAGGAUCAAUGUGAACUCCCCCUUAAUUGUGAGUUGGCUAGCCCUUAUAUAACUGGUAGAAUUUCUUCCUGUUCGUUCUUUGCUAUAGCAUCGUUUAAAUUGUUUUGAUCUUCUCUUAUUGUCUGAUUUUUUCCAGUUGGUGUUUUUUAACGAAUAUUCAUCGACAUGGCUUUUAAUUACUAGUUACAUUUUACUGAUCAUUAUAAUCGUUUGUUUUCUUGUUGCUUGUUACAGGGUGUUGUUAUCUAUUUUUUGGGUUUUCACAAAACAAAAUGAGAAAAUACAAAAAAAAUAUAUAAAAAAAUAUUCAGAAAAAAUUCAAAAAAUAAUAAGAGCGAGAAAAAGAUAUUGAAAUACCAAGAAAGGCCAAAAUUGGUUAAGGAGGUUUAAAAAAAUACAAAAAAUUAAAAUUUAACAGUAUAUUUUUGACUUAUGAAAGCCCUGUUGACAAAGAAAAUUUAAGUUGAGGAAGAAAAGUCCAAAAUCAAAUGUUUAUGGACUCAAUUAAAUUUUAUCUAAGAUUUAAUUGAAUUUAUGGAGGGUUGGAUUGUAAGAAAAUUAAUUUUUAAGUUAUUUUAGGUUUUUAUUAGAAGAAAUUAAAGUUAUGGGGUGCAAUUAUAAUUGUGAAGAAUUGAUUUGAUCAAAUCAGGGGCUUAAUUGCAUACUUAUUGAAGUUUGAUAGCCAAUUAGGAAUUUAAUUGAAAUAAUCCAAAACCAAGGACCAAAUUGGAAAAGUCACUAAAAUAAAAGGAUCCAAUUACAACAUUUCCAGGGGGGCUUGAUUACAAAAAUGUAAAAACAUCCAAGGACCAAAUCAGAAAUAUCAUUUAAAGUUGCAAAAUGGUGCCGUUUCAAGGCACUAUUCAUUGCCUUCUCCACCGAUUUAGCAUACAGGAACCGUUUCAGCAACAAAUGCUGCAGAUCAUGGGAAACGUUUCACAGCUACUAUUUCUCUACCGUUACCGCUGUAAUAAUGGGGCUGAACGUCUUCAUCAUAAAGAAAAAUGCAUGCAGUUUUGGCUAUAAAAAGAGAUGGGGGGCAACGAGACACGGAGGGGGGAAAAAGAGGAGGAGACAGAGAGAGGAGAGAGGGCAGAGAAGAGAGGCUACAGUGAAGAAAAAAAGAGGAGUGUGACAGCUGAGAAGAACGUAAGAAAAGUGAGAGAGUGGAGAAAUAGUGAGCAAGCAUAAGGGAGAGAAGAGGAAUGAGAGAAAGAGGCAAACCGGACGGAAGUAGAGGACACGGUGAAGCAGAGAACACAGCACCACCAUCGUCUUCGUCUUCUCAAAACCAGGUAUGUUCGAUGCCCUUCUCCGUUUCCCUGCAAAAAUGAGAUGAUGCAUGUUAUUAUGUAAAAUACAGAAAGAAAACACAAGGAAACCGACACCAGAAAUCACCAGUUGCAAUACUCUGUUUUGUUUUUUUUUCAUUCUCGCACUGCAACAAAGAUGAUUAACAGAGCGAAGGUAAUUUAAUUACCUUCGCCCUGUUCAUGCACGAUUAAAUAUAUUAUGGUGUCAUUAGAUACAAAUACGCCUUGUAGUCUAGGUGGUAAGCUUACUUGGCUUUCAUCAAGGGAAUUCUUUUUGAAGGUGGUCACUGGCAUGGGCCAGUGACCACGCUAGGCUGGCUAAAUCCAGCCCAGCUACGCAGGUUGGCUGGGUCCAGCCCAGCCACAUGGGCCGGGUUGGGCCCAGCCCGAAAAAUUAAAAAAUUUGAAAAAAUUCUUUUUUAAAAUUUUUUGAUUUUCCGCAAGUAUUUUACUGCAUUUUGAUCAAUAUUGGUUUGUAUUUUUAUAUUGUAACGAUACAAAUCCGGUAUUAAAUACCUGGUUUUCAUCAAAAAAAAAAAAAUGUUUUGUUUUCAUGUAUACAGCCAAGUCUCUCAAAAAUAAAUCAUAUUAUAUUUUCAUAUAUAUAUAUAUAUAUAUAAAUAAAAAUUCAAAAAUAUGUAUUAGCAUGCAUUUUGGUUAUAAUAAUUAGUUUAUUCAAGUCAUGAGAACUAGGCCAAUAUUUCAAAAAAAAAUAUUUUGUUUUCUCUUAAUAUCUGGGUUUACAACCUUAUACGUAAGACGUAUCCCGGAUAUUAAAAUUCUUUUGUUGACGCCAAAAUUACUCGAUAAGAUAAGGAUCUUCUUACCGAGGAUGACUCUUCUUAAACCAUAGACGGACCAACAACUAGAAAACACGACUCGACCUUAGAUUUUAUCAAACAAUAAAACAAUACAACUUACCUUAGGUAGGGCGUAUUUGAGGUACUAAUACCUUCAUUUUACGCAACCAGUCUCCGUACCUGAUCUCUGAAACCAGUUAGGAUUCCUAGUGAUCAAAAUACUAGGUGGCGACUCUCAUUCUAUUUUUCCACUAAUAAAAGACAAGAAUUUCUUGUCUUCACACAUUUGCUACAUGAGAUAAUAUUUUGAGAGUGCAUGUUUUCACCGCGACGCCGCACAUGUGCGACACAAGGAAUAAUUAUCACGGGUAUAAAGCUUACUUCUACAUAUAUCAAGCAUAUAAAAAUAUGGCUCCCACUCCUGAUCCAUAUUUGAAGCUCGAUGUGUUCCUCAGUACUUUUAGAGGCACCGAUACCCGCAAUAGUUUCACCAGUCAUCUUUAUGAUGCUUUGCAGCGAAGCCAAAUUGAUGCUUACAUCGAUAAUAAACUUGAUGGAGGAGAAAAGAUCGAGCCUACCCUCUAUCGGACAUCAUUGGUGAGUUGAUAUCUCUUUAAGAUCUUUAUCUUUAUUCUUGCUCAAAAUUAGUUAGUCUUCCAAACAGUUUUCGCGAGUUGAAAUCUCUUGCUAAACUUAAUGUUAUUCGUUGCUCAAAACUAGUAAGUUUAUCGGACAAUAUUGGUGAGUUGAAAUCUCUUGUAGAGCUUAAACUUUUUCGUACUCAAAACUAGAAAGUCUUCCAAAUAGUAUUGGCGGGUUGAAAUGUCAUGCAGAGCUUUGUCUUUCUAAUUUUUCAAAGCUAAUAAGUUUACCAUACAGUAUUGGCAAGUUGAAAUGUCUUGUGAAGCUUGAUCUCAGUUAUUUCUCAAAACUUGCAAGUCUAUCGGACUGCUUGGGCGAGCUGAAAUCUCUUGUAUUGCUUCAUAUUUCUUUUUGCCCAAAACUAGCAUGUCUUCCAAACAGUAUUGGUCAGUUGAAAUGUCUCGCAGAGCUUAAUCUUAGUGGAUGCUCAGAACUCUAGCAAAUCUUCCAAACAGUAUCUAUUAUCUGGAAUCUCUUAAAUGGCUUAAGCUAGAACGUUGCUAUAUGCUGAAUAAAUCCCCAGUACUGAACCCGAGGUGUUCAGAAGUAGAAGAAAUAGCAUUUGGUGGAUGUCUCCAAUAUUUGAAUUUGGGGGCCUCUGGCGUGUCAGAAAUUCCCGGUAGCAUAGGCUCUUUGGUGUCACUGAGAGAUUUGAGAUUAUCUUGUAAUGAUUUUGAGAGGAUACCUGCAAACAUCAAGCAACUUCCCAUGCUAAUUAAACUCGAUUUGCAUGGUUGUGAGAGGCUUCAACAUUUACCAGAGCUUCCAUCGAGUCUACAGGUUUUAAUCGCGUCAUAUUGCAUCUCUCUAAGAUCAUUAGCAAGUAUAUUCAUACAAGGUGAGAAAGGGUAUGUAGCUGCUUCUCAGCAAUUCAGUUUCUCUAAUUGUCUCAAAUUGGAUCAGAAUGCAUGCACUCGAAUUAUGGAAGAUGCCCAUUUAAGAAUUCGACGCAUGGCAUCAUCAUUGUUUAAUCGGGUGAAUUCUUCUUCCCUCGAUCUUGCUUUAAAAAAAAACCAUGAUAAUUUUGUAAAUGUAUCUCACAUUCUCACUCUCUUCGGUGCAGGAAUAUUUUGGUAAGCCAAUUAGAGUUAGGCUGUGUAUUCCUGGGUUGGAAGUCCCGGAGUGGUUCUGUUAUAAAAAUACAGAAGGACCUUCAUUAAAUAUUCCGGCUCAUUGGCACCGUACUGCUAACACUGAUCAGUUCUUGGGUUUCACCUUCUGCGCUGUUGUUUCAUUUGGCCACAGUAAGAAAAAGCGUCCCGUUAAUAUUAGAUGUGAAUGCCAUUUGAUAACCCAAGGUGGAAACCAGAGUGAUCUCAAUUUCUACUGCUAUGAAGAAGUUGAAAGAAAGGAGCGGAGUUUAUGGGAAAGGGAUCAUGUUUUCAUCUGGAGUAUCAACUCUAACUGCUUUUUCAAGGAGGCCUCGUUUCAUUUCAAACCACUGUGGGGAACUGAUGAUGUGGUGGUUAAGUGUGGAGUCCAUCCACUGUUUGUCCAAUACUGUUGAUGAAUCCUCUGUUAUUCAAAGAAUGUGUAUGGUGUCCAUGUUCAUGUGUUCAAAGAGCCCCCCUGCCUUCACUUAUGCUUCUUCGGCUGGAACUGUACAGGCGACGUCUCCAGGUUUGUCUACUAUCCAGUGAUCGGAUUUUUGAGUGUCUUUGGUCUCUGCGAGCUAGCCUUUAAAAAAAAAUGCAGCAAGGCAAAUAGAUGAUGCAUAAAGUUUUAAUGGUGUCUUACAGGCUCUUUGAAUUGAUUUAACAAGCAAAAAAAGCCACAGCUGUGGUUUACUUCUUAUGUCUUAUCGUUAAUCCGUUCUUGCAUUGAUUCUGCAGUGUCUUGGAGGUGCCUUACGAUUUUUCAGCCGAGGUAGACUUGCUGUAUUCACUUAUCGUUAAAGCAAUCGAUUCCAGAAGUCAAGGAAGCAACCAGAGACUUCAAGCAUACAUGUUGAUUGGUUUUGAUAUUGAAACACCCAGUACAUUCGUAUUGACAUUUUCACUUUCAGAUUCUGUGCUCUGCUCAGGACUCAAAACUCAACACUAAAGUUCAAUAUGUGAGAUUUUCUGAUAUUAUUCAAUUGUACAUCUCACAACUCCUUGAAUAAUGUAUCGUUUAAGUUCUCUGAAUGAUGUGUCCCCUACUUCCUUGAGUGACAUGAAGGAUUUGUAUGGUAUAUUUGCAGUUUAGGCAUGUCAAAGUUCCAUGUUUUUGUUCUUUUGGGGAUAUUGUAUGGUUUGUACUCCUCUUAUUGACUAUAUGUUCAUUGUGAAUGAAACCAAAGUUGAGUAUAAAAACUCUAUUUUCAUGACUAUGGUAAGAAACUUCUGUCCAAAGAAAGGUGUCAUGUCAUGUAUAUUUCAAAUUACCUGUCAAGGUUCAGACAGUUAAGAUCUUAUGCAUGUGCAUUUCUACACUGGAAAUUAUCACCUAAAGUCUAAUUUCUACUGAUAUAGACCUCUAUCAAACAGGUGGGAAAAGAGGAUUGAGGAGUGGUGUAUCAGACUUCAUUAUUAUUAUUGCUUGAUGACUCGUAUUCAGAUCAUUAAUUACUCACUGUGGCCCUCAACUCAGGUUUCUGACAUGUAUAGUUCACAGAGUGAAGACUUAUCUAGAUUACUGUGCAAGAAAAAUGAUGUGGUUGUCAAUGACAAUGGACAAAGUGUGAUAGCUUCAUAUAUUAAGAGAAAAGUAGUAAAUUCUUCAGUGGAAACUUUAAUCAUGAUCUAGCAAGGGUUGUCUGGAAAAGGAUUCCGGAAGACCACCAGUAUCCACAAGGAAAUCACCAGGAAAUCACUGCUUGGCUGUGUUCAAAAAAGCAAAAAGGCACACAGCGAGUCAAGCAUCCGCGUACACGACGCUUUAACUCGUUUUGGCCGGUGGGACAUCCUACUUUUUGACUAAAUUACACACCCAGCUAGCGUUUAACACAAGAUAGAGCUCUCAUCAAUAAUUGAUAGGAAAUUGGCUACUUUCUCAUCAAUAAUUGAUGAGAAAAUGAUUGCUAUUAUCUACACACAAAUAAUAAUUAGCACGCUGUUAAGCCAUAAACAUUCCUUCCUGGAAACCGACCUCAACUUUUCCUCACCGACAAAGUAAAGAAAAAGGAAAAGAAGAUUGAUGAAGAAUGGAGGUUGAACAUGUUUUUUUUUGUUGUUAAAAUUUAUAUAUUUUUUAAUAUUUUUUAAUUAUUUUUAUUUAUUUAUAUCAAAAAUAAAUUUUAAAAAAUAAAAAAUAUAUUAUUUUAAUAUAUUUUUAAAUAAACACUUUAAAAAUCAAGCUUUAAAUGAUUCCGUUGACUUAAUAAUUAAUGAUCGAGGCCCGGAUUCAAUAACUAUGAUAAUUAAACAUAUUUUCUCAUUUUUUGUUCUAAAUUUCUAUUAACAUUAUCAGGUGUUUAUGAUUUUAGACAAGGAAGUGAACUUAGCUCAACUAGAUGAAAUAGAUAGUGAAAUAGAGAGAUUAUUGUAGAGUUUAAUCUUACAACAAGGGACUUAUUAGUUAUUAUAAACAGUACAAUGUUAUGUCCAUGUAAAAAUUAUUUCUUCGUGUUAGGAAGAAAUAUUAGUCUAUGCUCAUAUGGACUUAUCUUCAAUGACAAGUAAAGGAAAAGAAAAAGAAGAUAUCUGACAACUGCUGUCCUCUUUUCCUUUCGGUUUUCUCGGGCCAGCCCUCUUCUCUUUUAUCCUUUCUUUUUCUUCCUCAACGUCUCUUCCAUGGCACAUUAAGGAAACAAGAGAAAGAAGACGAUAUAUCCUCGUUGAGGCACACAGAGGGUUAAAGAUCAACAAGCUGCCCUUGAUUAAUAACUGGUACAACUUUCUUCCUAUUCUUCCAUUAAUUUCUCUCUGUUUUGGGUUAGAUUCCACUUGUUUGGCCAUGGCCGUAGCAUCAUUCAUGUUGUUUAUAAAUGUUAGUGAGUUUUCCCUUUUAGCUCAAAAUGACUCUGUAAUUAAUUAAGAUCUCAGCUAGUUUCUCACUGGCUCCUCUCUUUAUAUCUUUCAUUGCUCUUCUUUGCUGGGCUCAUAUGUAAUGUUUGGCGCUUGCUCUGCACAAGUUCUAUUUUAAUUUCAUCCUUUAAUAUUGAAUUAAUUGAAGAUUAAAAUUUAUAAUUUAUUUUUAUUUAUUUUCCAGGCGGUUAUUUUGAUUUUAACUCAAGUAGGGUUUUUAAAUCUUUUUUAAUUGAUUUUUUUUUAAUUUACUACAACAUUUAGUAGUUUUACCAACAAAAUUUUUCUGUUAUUAGAGUAAAAUUACUACUAUAUCAGUGGAAAUUUUACCAACUAAUUCACCAAUGGAAUGCUUCUGUUGGUAUACCAUUAGUCGGUAAUUCCACUACUUGUCGCUAAUUUUAUCGAGAAAAAAAAAUUAAAAAACAAUGAUUUUACAAACAUUUAGGAUCUUUCAUUCAAGCAGAAAAAGAACACAAUUCUAUUUUGGAUUUAAUAAAAAAGGAAAAUUUAAUCUUAGUGAUCCAAUUAAAAUCCGUGACUCAAACCUUGAUUCAGUGGAAACCAUGUCGGUACUAAAAACUAUGCAUCAUAUGUGAGGAGAAAAGUAGUAAAUUCUUCAGUGGAAAAAGAUUCCGCAAGGCCACCACUAUCCUUCUACCUCGUUGCACCAUCAUCGAUAUCUUUUAGUUUUACAAUCGUGUGUGUGAAUUUUUCAAUGGGAUAAGAUGCUGUCGCUUAAAUAGGCCUCUUUUCUUUUCUUUUGUGUGUUGCGCGUCCCUUUUUUUGACGAUGGAGCUGAGCAGCACACGUGGUUCCUCUCUCUCUCUCUCUGCUAGAAAGCUUUGUGGGCUUUCUGGUCCAUUCAAAUAUAUAUGGGAAGCAAGGAACCUUCGUUCACUUCAAUGCGAAGCAAGAGCAAAAGGAGUUUCAUGAGAGGUUUUAUUUUUUCAUUUAAAAAGUAUUUUUAAAAAAUUUUAAAAUUAUUUUAUUAUUUUAUUAAUUUUAAAUUAAUAUAUUUUUAGUAUUUUUAAAUUAUUUUGAUAUACUAAUAUCAAAAAUAAUUUUAAAAAAAUAAAAUUAUUAAUAUUUAUUUUAACACAAAAAAUUAUUUAAAAAAUAACUAGAAUUACAUUGCGAAAUACUCUUUUCAUCUCAUGACACGCUUUUCUCUUAUCGCCACCAACCGGCCUGUAAUAUUCCAUAUACCCCCACUCGCCACUGGCUGCAGGCUCUCCUUUCUACAGCCCAUGAAGGCGGUGAAAAGGAAAAAAAAACAUCAAAUUACAACCUUUAAUUUUCGAAUUCUCGACAGAAUAUGACAUCGCCGCUUUUCCAACUACUUGUGCUUUGUCGAGUGGCACCGCCCCACUCUCACAAGUUCAGAAACAUGAUCAUAUUAAUAAUCUAUCUGCAAUAUAAACAAAAAUAAUGCUACAAUUUUAGAAUUUUGGAGUUGUUUCGUUAGUCAGAGAGGAAUAUAUAAUUUGGAUUUAUGAGUAUUUUUUUAAUUUAUUUUUAAAUGAAUUAAAAUUUUUUUAAUCAUGGUCUAACAAGGGUUGUCUGGAAAAAGAUUCCAGAAGACCACCAGUAUCCACAAGGAAAUCACUGCUUGGCUGUGUUCAAAAAAGCAAAAACAAUUACGGAAGACCAAGCAAAAAACUUGCUCCAGGUCGAAACCUAAGCCCGGACUAAAAACUAUGCGUCAUAUGUUAGGAGAAAAGUUGUAAAUUCUUCAGUGGAAACUUUAAUCAUGGUCUCACAAGGGUUGUCUGGAAAAAGAUUCCGGAAGACCACCACUAUCCACAAGAAAUCACUGCUUGGCUGUGUUCAAAAAUCAAAAGGGCACACAGAAAGUAAAGCAUCCGCGUACACGACGCUUUUAACUCCUUUUUGCCGAUGGGACAUCCUACUUUUUGACUAAUUUUAUACACCCAGCUAGCGUUUAACACAAGAUAGAGCUCUACAUCAAUAAUAUACCAUAAACAUUCCUUCCUGAAAACCUACCUCAACUUUUCCUCAUCGACUCAGAGCGUGUUUGUCAGCGUGGUAGCGGUUGCUUUUUAAAUAAUUUUUUAUGUUGAAAUACAUGCUAAUAAUAUUUUUUUCAUUUUUAAAAUCAGCACAUCAAAACGAUCCAAAAAGUACAAACUGAACUCAAUUUUAGUUAAAAAAAAAAUAAUUCAAAUUUGGACAAAACGCAGGUGCAAACGCAGCACCAAACACUGCUUAAGAAACCGUAUGGACAUUGUGUUUUCAAAAAUUUUAAUUUUUUUAAUUAAAAUUUAAUAUGGUUUAUAUGUUUUAAAUCGUUUUGAUGUGCUGAUGUCAAAAAUAAUUUUUUAAAAAUAAAAAUAAUCAUUAACAUAUAUUUCGGCACGAAAAGUUAUUUAAAAAACAAUCAUUAUCACACUGUAAAAGGAAAAGAUGUAGAUCAUUUUGAAUUGAGAUUGAAAUGAUUUCAGACUAUAAUUUAUUUGGCUUAAUCAUUAAUGAUCCAGGCCCGGAUUCAACAACUAUGAGGAUUCAAUAACUAUGACAAUUAAACAUAUUUUCUCACUUUUUUGUUCUAAAUUUCUAUUAACAUUAUCCAGUGUUUUUUAUUUUAGACAAGGAAGUGAACUUAGCUCAACUAGAUGAAAUAGAUAGUGAAAUAGAGAGAUUAUUGUAGAGUUUAAUGUUACAACAAGGGACUUAUUAGUUAUUAUAAACACUACAAUGUUAUGUCGAUGUAAAAAGUAUUUCUUCGUGUUAGGAAGAAAUAUUAGUCUAUGCUCAUAUGUACUUAUCUUCAAUGACAAGUAAAGGAAAAGAAAACGAAGAUAUCUGACCACUGCUAUCCUCUUUUCCUUUCGGUUUUCUCGGGCCAGCCCUCUUCUCUUUUAUCCUUUCUUUUUCUUCCUCAACGUCUCUUCCAUGGCACAUUAAGGAAACAAGAGAAAGAAGACGAUAUAUCCUCGUUGUGGCACACAGAGAGUUAAAGAUCAACAAGCUGCCCUUGAUUAAUAACUGGUACAACUUUCUUCCUAUUCGUCCAUUAAUUUCUCUCUGUUUUGGGUUAGAUUCCACUUGUUUGGCCAUUGAUGUAGCAUCAUUCAUGUUGUUUAUAAAUGUUAGUGAGUUUUCCCUUUUAGCUCAAAAUGACUCUGUAAUUAAUUAAGAUCUCAGCUAGUUUCUCACUGGCUCCUCUCUUUAUAACUUUCAUUGCUCUUCUUUGCUGGGCUCAUAUUUUUCUUCUUAAAUAUUCCUGCUCUGUUCUUUCUAUCUCAUUAUCUUCUGACAGUUAUUAUUCACUUCUAUCUCCUUCUUUCUGAUUUUCCACAUGUUUUGGGCUAGAACCUCUGAGCUAUAGACCACUAUUAUUGUCUGAUCAUUCUAAUACACUCUUGUUUGAUCAUAUACAGCCUUUAUUUAUGAGAUAUAAAAUAAUCUCCCAACUGUCCUCCAUCCGCUAGCUUCUCUCUUUAUUUACCAGGUGUAAGAUCUCAACUAGUCUUUGACUAAUAGUGAAUCUGAAAGAAUAAAAAUAUGGAUUGUCAAUCAAUUUUUGCCGUCUGCCUUCUGAUCUCACUUCUCUAUUUGAAUUUUCCAGUUGGUGUUAAAUAAUAUGGUUUUGGUUUUAACGAAUAUUCAUCGACAUGGCUCUUCCUAGUUAUAUUACUCAUCAUUAUAAUUAUAUCGUUUGUUUUCUUAUUGCUUGUUACAGGGAAUAAUUAUCACAAGUAGAGCUUACUUCUACACAUAUCAAGCAUAUACAAAUAUGGCUUCCUCUUCUUCUCCCACUACUCCAUAUUUGAAGCACGAAGUGUUCCUCAGUUUUAGAGGCACGGACACCCGCAAUAGUUUCACCAGUCAUAUUUAUGAUGCUUUGCAGCGAAACCAAAUUGAUGCUUACAUCGAUAAUAAACUUGAUGGAGGAGAAAAGAUCGAGCCUUCCCUCUUGGAAAGGAUUGAGGAGUCAUGUAUUUCGCUAGUCAUUUUCUCUGAAAAUUAUGCAGAUUCUACUUUCUGUUUGAGGGAACUCUCCAAGAUUCUUGAGUGCAGAGAGACCAAACAACAGAUGGUCUUACCAGUUUUUUACCGACUUGAUCCAAGCCAUGUUCAAAAUCUGACUGGGAGCUAUGGAGAUGCACUUUGCAAGCAUGAAAGAUAUUGCAGUUCUGAAGAAGUAGAGAGUUGGAGACGUGCUUUGAAAGAAAUAGCUAAUCUCAAGGGCUGGGAUUCAAACGUCAUUAAGUAAGUUAUUAAUUUAGUUGCAGCAUAUUAAACCCAACCUAUUUAAACAAUUUUGUUCGAGAAUAAAUGUUGUGUUUGAUGUUAUGAUAAAAUUUAUUAGGUUAUGACAGCAUGUCUUUGUUCUUAAUUUGUUUAUUAUGCACUGCAGGGAUGAGACCAAGCUAAUUCAUGAAAUCCUUACCGACAUUCAAAAGAAAUUGAACCAUGAGGUGUCACUCUCAUUCAUUGCAAAAGGCCUUUUUGGAAUGAAAUCACGGGUUGAAGACAUCGAAUCAUUACUAUCCUUUGGAUCAACCGGCGUGCUCAUCGUGGGAAUCUGGGGGAUGGGUGGUAUAGGUAAGUCCACAACGGCUGAAACUGUGUAUCUUCGAAACUGUAGUAAAUUUGAAGGCCAUUGCUGUUUCCGAGAUGUUAGGGAAGAAUCACGGAAGCAUGGAGUAGAUCAUGUAAGACAGGAAAUUCUUGGUGAAGUAUUAAAGAAGAAAGAUAUGACUAUACGCACAAAAGUGUUACCCCCGGCCAUUAAGCAAAUGCUUCAAAGAAAAAAAGUACUCAUAGUUCUUGAUGAUGUCAAUGAUCCACAAGAUUUAAAAUAUUUAGUAGGAGAGGAUGGUUUGUUUGGCCAAGGAAGUAGAAUCAUGGUGACAAGUAGAGAUAGGCAAGUGCUUAUAAAUGCAUGUGAUGAAGACAAAAUUUACGAGGUUAAAAUUUUAGAUAAAGACGAUGCUCUUCAACUCUUCAGCUUACAUGCUUUUAAACAAAAUAAUCCCAUAGAAGGAUAUAUUGGGCUAUCAAAAACUGUGGUAAGCUGUGUUAAGGGCAUUCCAUUAGUUCUCGAGGUUUUAGGUGGCAUUCUAUGCAAUAGAAGGAGUGUUGACUACUGGGAAAGUACGGUGGCACAGCUAAGAACAAAUGGUAGCGAGGACAUUAGGAAACAUUUGGAAUUGUGUUAUCAUGAAUUAAAUCAGAUAGAAAAGAAAAUAUUUCUUGAUAUAGCAUGUUUCUUUGGACGGUGCAAAAGGGAUCACCUCCAACAAACACUAGAUCUGAAAGAAAGAAGUGGGAUCGAUCGUCUCGCUGAUAUGUGUCUAAUAAAAAUUGUUCAAGACAAGAUCUGGAUGCAUGAUCUUUCUUCUUGCUCAAAACUAACAAGUCUACCGGACAACAUUGGCGAGUUGAGAUCUCUUGCAGAGCUUAAUCUUUCUUCUUGCUCAAAACUAGCAAGUCUACCGGACAGCAUUGGCGAGUUGAGAUCUCUUGCAGAGCUUAAUCUUUCUUCUUGCUCAAAACUAGCAAGUCUACCGGACAGCAUUGGCGAGUUGAGAUCUCUUGCAGAGCUUAAUCUUUCUUCUUGCUCAAAACUAGCAAGUCUACCGGACAACAUUGGCGAGUUGAGAUCUCUUACUAUUCUUAAUCUUUAUUCUUGCUCAAAACUAGCAAGUCUACCGGAAAGCAUUGGCGAGUUGAGAUCUCUUACUAUGCUUGAUCUUUGUGGUUGCUAUGGACUAACAAGUCUACCGGACAACAUUGGCGCGUUGAAAUCUCUUCAUCGGCUUAAUCUUGAUGGUUGCUCGGGACUAGUAAGUCUACCAAACAGCAUUGGCGGGUUGAAAUCUCUCAAAUCGCUUUUAUCAAGACUAACAAGUCUACCAGACAGCAUUGACAACUUGAAAUCUCUCAAAUUGCUUAAUCUUAAUGGUCGCUCAAGACUAGCAAGUCUACCAGAUAGCAUUGGUGAGUUGAAAUCUCUCAAAUCUCUUUGGUUUAGAGGUUUCUCAAGACUAGCAAAUCUACCGGACAACAUUGGCGCGUUGAAAUAUCUUGAAGACCUUGAUCUUGAAGAUUGCUCAGGACUAGCAAGUCUACCAGACAACAUUGGCGCAUUGAAAUCCCUUAAAAAACUUUAUCUUAGUGGUUGCUCAAGACUAGCAAGUCUACCAGACAGCAUUGGCGCGUUGCAAUCUCUCGAAUAUCUUAAUCUUAGAGGUUGCUCAAGACUAGAAAGUCUACCAGACAGCAUUGGCGCGUUGCAAUCUCUCAAAUCUCUUCAUCUUAAAGGUUGCUCAGGACUAGUAAGUCUACCAGACAUUAUUGGCGCGUUGCAAUCUCUCAAAAACCUUAAUCUUAGCGAUUGCUCAGGACUAGUAAGUCUACCGGAUAGCAUUGGCGCGUUGAAAUCUCUUGAAUACCUUAAUCUUUUAGAUUGCCCAGGAGUAGCAAGUCUACUGGACAUCAUUGGCCCGUUGAAAUCUCUUGAAUACCUUUGUCUUUAUGGUUGCCCAGGAGUAGCAAGUAUACUGGACAACAUUGUUGCAUUGAAAUCUUUAAACGCACUUUAUCUUAGUGGUAUCUCAAAACUAGAAAGUCUACCGGACAGUAUUGGCGCGUUGAAAUCUCUUGUAUUACUUGGUCUUCAUGGUUGCUCAGGACUAGCAAGUCUACCGGACAGUAUUGGCGCAUUGAAAUCUCUUAAGUUCCUUAAUCUUUCUGGUUGCUCGGGACUAAAAAGUCUACCGGACAACAUUGUUGAGUUGAAACAUCUUACUAUGCUCAUUCUCAGUGGUUGCUCGGGACUAAAAAGUCUACCGGACAGCAUUGUUGAGUUGAAACAUCUUUUUAUGCUCGUUCUCAGUGGUUGCUCGGGACUAAAAAGUCUACCCGACGGUAUUGGCGAGUUGAAACAUCUUACUAUACUCAAUCUCAGUGGUUGCUUAAAACUAGCGAGCCUUCGAGAUAACUUUAUUGAUCUUGAAUUUGGAGGACUUGACAAACAACCUUGUUAUACGCUGAGAGGAUUCCAGAAAGGAGAAGAAAUUGCAUCAUCCACCAAUAAAUUAGGUUGCCAUGAAUUUUUAAAUUUGGGAAAUUCUCGUUUGUUGAAAACUCCAGAGAGCUUAGGCUCUUUUGUGUCACUAACAAAGUUGAGAUUAUCUGAGAUUGAUUUUGAGAGGAUACCUGCAAGCAUCAAGCACCUUACUGAGCUACGUGAACUCUUUUUAGAUGAGUGCAAGCGCCUUCAAUGUUUACCAGAGCUUCCAUCAACUCUACAAGUUUUAAUCGCAUCAGGCUGCAUCUCUCUAAAAUCUGUAGCAAGUAUAUUCAUGCAAGGUGAUAGAGAAUAUGAAGUUGCUUCUCAGGAAUUCAAUUUCUCUAAUUGCCUCCAACUGGAUCCGAAUUCACGCACUAAAAUUAUGGGUGAUGCCCGUUUACGAAUUCAACGCACGACAACAUCGUUGUUUUAUCAGGUGAAUUCUUCCUCCCUCGAUCUUGAUUUAUUUAAAGAAAAAAAUCACGAUAAUUUUUUAUAUGUAGCUCACAUCAUCACUCUCUUCGGUGCACGCAGAUCGUUAUAUACCCAUUAGAGUUCGGUUGUGUAUUCCUGGUUCGGAAGUCCCGGAGUGUUUCAGCUAUAAAAAUAGAGAAGGAUCUUCAGUAAAAAUCCGGCAACUAGCUCAUUGGCAUCGUGGUUUCACUUUAUGCAGUGUUGUUUCAUUUGGCCAAAGCGAGGAAAGGCAUCCGGUUAAUAUUGAAUGUGAAUGCCAUUUGAUAAUCAAAGAUGGAACCCAGAUUGAUCUCAGUUCCUACUACUACGACAAAUAUGAAGCAAAGGUGAGGAGUCCAACUAUAUGGAAAAGGGAGCAUGUGUUCAUUUGGAGUGUCCACUGUAAGUGUUUUUUCAAGGAGGCCUCGUUCCAUUUCAAACCACUGUGCGAAGCUACUGAUGUGGUGGUUCAGUGUGGAGUCCAUCCAUUGUUAAAGUAGGAGCAACCAUACGCUAAAAUGGACAAACUUAUGACAUUGGUAACUCGUCUUCUCCUAUUCUUUUUCUAUACAAAUACUUACGAAACAACUCAAUUGAAAUGAAACCAGAUAGUCUUAUGUAUUAGAGAUGAAAAUGAUAUAUUUGUCCUCCUACAAAACAAAAUAAUAAUUAUCAAUUGGAUCCCAUCUAUCACAUCUUACCAAUUAACCCCACCAUUAAAAUUUAUGGUAUAAAUGACAUCAUUUUAAUGGGUGCAUGGUUCUAAGGUCUUGAUAAAAAAAACAAUUGGUUCAGUAGGUUAACUCGGGUUAUUUUUUGUUUUUUAAUAGUUUUUUUUUCAAUUUCAUCCUUCAACAUUAAGUUAAUUGAGAAUUUAGUUUCAUAUUUUUGUUUUGUUUUCUAUGAGUUUAUCGUGAUCCCAAGAUCCAGGCUACAAGUUUUAUGAGUUAGCAAGGUUGACUCAAUUUUAUUUUUUAUUUUAUUUUUUUUUCAUCUCUCAACAUUGGAUUGAUUGAGAAUUUAACUUCAUAUUUUAAUUUUAUUUUAAUCUAUAGAUUUAUCCUGGUCUUAUGAUCCAAGUUUAUUAUAUUAACCCGGGUUGACUCAAUAUAUUUUUUUAAUUGAUUUUUUUUUAAAUUGAAUCCUUUAACAUUGGGUUGAUUGAAAAUUGUGCUUUGUAAUUUUUUUUACCAUAAUCUCAUGACCCGGGUCGAUUGUUAGCUCGGUUGCCUCGAGUUUUUUUGUGUUCUUUUUAAAUGCAUUUGUUUUUCAAUUUCUUCUAUUAAUAUUGGGUUAAUUGGGAAUUAAGCUUCAUAAUUUAUUUUGGUUUUUUUUCUAUGAAGAUAUCUUGACCUCAUAACUCGAGUCGCGGGUUUAAUUUGUGAACUUGGGUUGAAUCGAGUGGUUUUUUCAUGUUUUUUCAUUAAUUUUUUUUAACAAUUUUAUUUUACAAUAUUGGGUUGAUUGAGAAUUGAGUUUUUAAAUUUUAAUUUGACUGGCAGUGUAGCGUGGACAAUUAUCUAGCGUGGACAAUUACUGUACCCCUUGUCACAAAAGCACUAUUCAUUGGAAUUAUGAUUUUUUUUAUGCUUUUUUUUCAAUCAAUUUUUUUUUAAUUUCAUCUUUUAAUAUUAUAUUUGUUUUUAUUAAGUUAUUUCACUCUCAUGACAUGGAUUGCUGGCUUGACGAGUUAACCUGGUUUACUUAAAUUUUUCUUCAAUUUCAUCUUUUAAUAUUGAUUUGAUAGGAAUUUAGGCUUCAUGAUCUGUUUUGUUUACUUUCUAUUGUGUUAUUCUUGCAUGCCUUAUGAUCGAAGAAUCGUGUUUAACAAGUUAACCCAAGUUCACUAAUAGUUUUUUGUGUCUUCUUUUAUUUUAUUUUUUAAUUUUAUCAUUCAACAUUGAGUCAGUUGGAAAUUGAGUUUCAUACUCUAUUUUGAUUUGCUUUCUAUGAGGAUAUUUUGCUAUCACAAUCAAGGUCACAAGUUUUUUAUAAUGUUAUCUCAAUUUGAUGGCGCAAGUCAUGGGUGUGGCUGAUUGACUCAUGUCGGUUUUUUUAUUUAUUAAUUUUUAAUUGUUUUUUUUAAUCUUAUCCUUCAACAUUAGGUUGAUUGGUGAUUGUAAUUUGUAAUUUUAUUUAUUUAUUUUUUAUGGGAUUAUCUUGAUUUUAUCCUUCAACAUUAGGUUGAUUGGUGAUUGUAAUUUGUAAUUUUAUUUAUUUAUUUUUUAUAGGAUUAUCUUGAUCUUCUAACCCCGAUCGCGAGUUUGACAAGUUAACUCGGGAGGUGUAAACUUAACUGGAUUUUUCAUUCACCAUGCAGUGCAUUAAGAUCAUUUGACCAAAAUGAUUAUUUUCUUUUUUCAUUUUGCUAAUAGUUCUUUGUCGCUUGUAAACAGAAUACGGACAGAGUAAUAAAGUAUUAGUUAGAGGAGACAUACAUGGCUUCGGUAUCAUGCAGCUGGGAUUGAUAACAAGGCAAAGACCAAUAGGAGAAACGCUCGCCGACGGGCUUGAUAUAAGGAAGGAGCCAUAUUAAAAGGUUUUUUUUUAAUUAAUUUCAUUUUCAGAUUUUUUUACCGAACACUAAGUUGCUUUUAAAUUGACGGAAAACAAAGCUAAAUAAGUAGUUAGGUUAAAAGAUUAUUUUUUUAGCAAUUUCAUUUUUUUCUUUUAAUUUUUCUCUUGGAUUUUUUGUACAAAAUAGUGGGGAUGCCUUUGAAUUCUAAUUUUAAACCUAAGAUAGGUAAGGAGUCGGAUUAAUAAAAUUUAAAUUUGACACAAUAGACCGAGUUUAAUAAAAUAUCAAAUAAUUUUUUAUAAUUUAAAUAUUUUUUAUUAUGUUAAAAAAAAUUAAUUCAACCUACAUGGUAAUAUAAAAUUAUAGAAGACUUGGGAGUAAUUUAUAAUUAAUUAAAGUACUACUAAAAAACAAAUCAAAACAAAAAAAAAAAUUCUAAAUGGGCUCGAUUAACUACCAAUCAGACCACAGCAGUACAUAGCCCAAAACCAAAGGCCCAAUUCAUUCCGUCUCUUUUUCUGUAUCAAUCGAUACGCAUAAAUUCUUGAAUUAUUUUAUUUUAUUUUUAUGGUUCUUGUUUUAUAGAUCGAAAUUGUUUGAUUUCUCUCAGAUCUGACGUUCCAAAUGAUUGAAGAGAUCUGCGAUCGUAUCAAGAUUGUUCAAAUUUCCGAUUCCAGCCCUUCUCUCUCUUCGACCACAGGUUAGAAGAAGUAGCUUCACUUUGUUUAAUUAAUAUUUCUCUGAAAUUGAUUUUUUUAAAAAAAUUUCAGUUGAAUCCGUAGAAGAUACGAAAUUCGAUACAGGUUCGUGUUUUUAUUAAAAAAAAUGUAUUAGAAAUUAUUUGUUGAAGUACUGAUUAUCAGUGUUUUUUUUUUUUUGCUUCUGCUUAGGCUUAGAAAUUGUAAUUGUGAAUUAUUUGAUUUUAUUUGUUAUUGAAUUUAAUUUUUUAUUUAUCUUUUUAAUUCUAGGGUUUCUAAAUUUUUAAAGUCGUUUUUAAUUAAGAGAAAAAAAAAGAGUUAAAUUGAGUCAAAUUCGGUGCUGUAGAACUGUAGACAUUUGUAUUUUAUAUUGAAAUUGUUUUGACUCGAAAAGGUUAUUUUGAUUUUAAUGAAUUUUCAGGAGAAACUAUUAAUUCGGAGGAGGAGAGCGUAUCUAAUAGAAUUCGACAAGUUUCCCCAUCUCAGGGGCCAACACUGCCCAUUUUGCAGAAAAUUAUCAAUUUAAGUGAUAAAAUUCAGGUACUUAUUUUGAACUUUGGUGGUGUUGGGUAUCGUAUAGAUGACUUGAAAAGACUUGGUUUUAGUUGUAGAAUUCAGGCAAUUUUAAAUUUCAUUGUUUUAGCUAGUAAAUUAGGAUUUUGCAUUAUUAUGUUGAUGGGGGUAUUGAUUUGUUAUCUUUCUUUGAAUUUAAUUGUUGUUGUUUUAGAAUUUGAAGAAAGAACACUCAAAUCUCUCUAAUCAAGUAAAGACUGCCAAGGAUUCCUUUCUUGGCCCCAAUAUUUUAGACACCCUUCAAAAACUCGGUGAGUAUCCAAUAGUGAAACUAAUUUAUUUCUUCUUUUCAUUUUUUAUUUUUUUAGAGGGGUUUGGUUUUGAUAGUUUACUCGUUGAAAUAUUGGUCAGGUAAUGAAUAUGAACUUCUUAAAAAGAGGUAUCUACAAGAGUUGUCUGAGAGAAAGAGGCUUUACAAUGAGGUGAUCGAGCUUAAAGGGAAUAUUAGGGUCUUCUGUAGAUGCAGACCACUAAAUCAAGUUGAAAUAACACAUGGUUUGAGCUAUGUAGUUGAUAGUUUACUUGUUGAAAUAUUGGUCAUGUAAUGAAUAUGAACUUCUUAAAAAGAAGUAUCUACAAGAGUUGUCUGAGAGGAAGAGGCUUUACAAUGAGGUGAUCGAGCUUAAAAGGAAUAUUAGGGUCUUCUGUAGAUGCAGACCACUAAAUCAAGUCGAAAUAACAAAUGGUCUGAGCUAUGUAGUUGAAUUUGACUCUUCCCAAGAUAAUGAGUUGCAGAUCAUUUCCUCUGAUUCUUCCAAAAAGCAAUUUAAGUGGACCAUGUUUUUGGACCUGAGGAUAAUCAAGGUGAUCUG